rnacentral:rRNA from 1 species
AGUUAACGUUCAAUUUUUGAAGUUUCUCUAGCUUUUUUGUUGGGUGAAAUCAGUAUAAAAAGCUCUUUCUUCUUUAAAAAUUAGUAGGAACUAAAAAACUUUGAUUUAAAACCAGGAUUAGAUACCCUGUUAUUCUCAGUUAUUCUUAAACAGGGUAGUAAAAGUUGUUCUUCAAACCCAAAGAUUUUGGCGGCACUUUAUCCAAAUAGAGGAGCUUGUCCCUUAAUCGAUAGUCCUCGUUUUAUCUUUCCUUCAUUUGUAAAGCUUGUAUACCGCCGUUGUCAGAUUACUUUUAGAGAAUGUUUUCAAGUUAAAAGACUUUAUAACUUCAGGUCAAGGUGCAGUUUAUAUGGGGGUGGAGGUGAGCUACAGUUUUCUUUAGAAAAUACGGAUUCUAAGCUUUGAAGCUAGCUGAAGGUGGAUUUACUAGUAAAGUAAUUUAAGUAAA